rnacentral:misc_RNA from 1 species
GAUGAAGAACGUAGCGAAAUGCGAUAAGUAAUGUGAAUUGCAGAAUCCAGUGAAUCAUCGAAUCUUUGAACGCACAUUGCGCCCGCCAGCAUUCUGGCGGGCAUGCCUGUUCGAGCGUCAUUUCAACCCUCGACCUCCCUUUGGGGAAGUCGGCGUUGGGGACCGGCAGCACACCGCCGGCCCUGAAAUGGAGUGGCGGCCCGUCCGCGGCGACCUCUGCGUAGUAAACCAACUCGCACCGGAACCCCGACGUGGCCACGCCGUAAAACACCCAACUUCUGAACGUUGACCUCGAAUCAGGUAGGACUACCCGCUGAACUUAAGCAUAUCAAUAAGCGGACGA